AAUCUUCCAGGAGGCCGGAUCAAGUGGCUGUUGUGCGAGUCUCAGCUUUGCAUCUUCUGACUUACCUGAGUUCACUGUGGUUUUACCUGAUUUACAUGUAGACACAGUUUUUCUUGUUGAUCAUGUAAAUUGAAAAUGUAGAUUUUUGGAGAACACAGUUGCAGAGCUACAGUAUGAUGCUAUAUUUCAGGACGUGUCACUAACUAGCAGCCUUUUCCCCUGAAGUUCUUUCUGCAUAUGGAGGACUCAGCUCAUUUUUUCUCCGCUCUCCUGUUUCCAGUAAGCCACCGCCCUCCUCCCCCUCUCUGUGGCUUUGCAUCGAAUUUACCACUAAUGGGCCGCUUUUCCCAGUGCCACUGUUUGCAUUACAGUAACGUGUGUUUGCUCAGGGCUUGGCCUUAGCUUGCCGACGCGGGCUGACGGCUCUAUGGAUUUUUCCUAACCUCCAUAUGAUAGAGCCAGUGUUUGUGGAAAACUUUAUUAGAAGUAGUGGCGUAGAGUGUGCCUUAGCACAGUGUGAAUGGGAACUACAAUCACGUUUGACCUGCUUAGCACAGCGUCACAAAGCCGAGGUUAUACACCAUGUGUGCGUGUGUGUGUGUGUGUGUAACUGUAAGAGAUAUGCUUGCUUGUUGUGUUUGGAGGCUGAAUGCCUCAGGCAAUGAGUUGCUGUCACGCUAUCAUGAUGUUGUGCAGUACAGCGUCUGCCAAUGCAUCAAUAAUGGCAAUUAUAUCUCAUAAUGGCAGAAAGCGAGAUCCAAAGGUGGAAAAUAGAGCAUUAUCCAGCUGUGGGGUGUGGUGCGUCUGUUGGUGUGUGUGUGUGUCUGUGUGUGGGUGUGUGUGUGUGUUGCUCAGAGAACGAUGUCCUCACACCCUUAUCGCAGCUUGUAUUUACCUGUUGUGUUCCCAUGGUGACUCCCGCCAUUUCCGAGUCCUCAAAAGGUGUCAACCGGAGUGGAGUGUAGGAUCGAGAGAGAUUAGGUUAGAAGUAACCUGGCAUUUGUGCCAAGGUGUGAACCUUUUUAUACUCGGAUUUGUCAGAUACAAUCCUUCAUUCAUCAGUUUCCUGCGUUUUUAUUUGUUCCGACAAACUUAUGCAAAAUUUACAAGAAAUUCCAACAGUUUUGGAAAGACCUGCUCAGAUAAGGCCUAACAAUUUACCAUAUUUAUUUGAGUGAAUUGAUAAAGCAAAGCAGUAUGUUAUUCGUUUUAUUGUAUCAUUGGCAUGAUUUAAUCUUAGUUGCAUUCUAUAUUGAGAAAAUGACACAUAUUCCUAGUUGUAUAACAGGAAAUGAUUGUAUGUAUACUUAAAAAAUGUAUCAUUAAAUGAAUAGUAAACUUGCAAAAAAAACCAUGGGCAUUUUCUUUCGGUGAUUGUACUUUUUUUGGUUAUCUGUGUUGCUUUUGUAGAAUAAAGAAAAGAUAUUAAAGCUGUAAAAGUCAAAGGCAGAGAUUAAGUAUGUGCCUGCUAUUGAAAAUGAAAGAAAGAGGAGCGUACGUUUGUGAAUGACAGCGAGUAAGCCACCGAUGACUUUCUUCGAAACAGGAAGGCGUAGUGAUGUCAUUCUUCACAUUGACGCAGCCAUCUGCUCCUCCUGACGGGCAGUUUUUUUUACUGUCACUAUGGCAACGGCUGCGGUGUAAGCAAACAUCCGGACCUAAAGCCCCCUCCACACACACACACUUUACCGUUUAUAUUAUCACAGCACCACACCUGCAGGUUAAUGGCUUUCCUCUGAACAUUUCCUCGUACCGACUAAAAACAGACUCAUAUAAAAAGUGCUGACUAAAUGCAAUCCUGCCAACUGUUCAUAUAAUGUCUGAUGUGUUUUAUUGAAAAGUCCAAUAAAAUACAUCUAAUCUUUGUAAAGGGAUGGAUUUCUAUUUUUCUCAACACUGAUAGAAACAUUUUUUCACAUUUAUUUGAUCCAAAAUCUCAAAAAACCCUUUUACUGAGCAUCAUUUAUUUAUGUGGUUCAAUGUGCCAGUGUGCUUUUGUGUUUCUCUGUGUGCUGCAUAACCACCUGUAUUCUCCAUGAAUGGGCUAUAUUACUAUUCUACAUGAAUACAUGGGCAUUUUUUUUUAUCUCUGAAUAACCAGGCCAAGGCAUUCUUGAAUGUAGAUUUAAUUUUCAAACACAGCCGUCACUUCCUCUUUUUUUGUCAAGCCGGCACAAAUGAGCGUUAUAUGCAUUUCUGUUUCCAUGGUCACAAAAGGGAACCGGUGUUUCUUGAUGUUUUUUUUGUUUGGUUUUUUUCAACCCGACAAUUUUCAACUGCUUUAAUAAUGGAAUAUGAGUUUCACAAGUGACUAGAGGACACACUGUAACAUCCAAAGAGACAGAAAAUGCCUUAAAGCAUUGGACUCAUUUCAGAUAAUCUCAGAUCACAAGGAAACAGACGCAACAGACUCAAUUUGACUUGGAGCCUUUUUUAGCUUUUAUUGAUAUCUCGGUUUUAUUGAUGUCACAGGACAAGUCACUGGCGCCAGCCCAUAGUUGGUAGGCUGCAUUCUUAUUAUUAUGUAUUUAUAACAUUCAAAACUUUUACAAACUGUAUGCAGCCAUCUUGCUCUGGAUUCCAGGUGUGAGAAGUGUGGCUUUUCCGAGAGUGUACAUCUCUGGACUGCAUCUGUGUGUUUGGAUGUGUGGAUGUGUGUCUCUGAGGUGCUAUGUUGGCAAGACUAGGCCCCUGUUCCUGCUGAACUGAGCCAGCUGAAGAGAGACACUGAUUAUCAGCACAGCAGGCACAGGAGACCAGCCCAAUGAUAAAGACCAGAAAGAGAAACACCAGCAAACACUGAAACAGAGAGAAAGAGAGAGAAAAAGAGAGAGA